rnacentral:rRNA from 1 species
GAUGAACGCUGGCGGCGUGCUUAACACAUGCAAGUCGAACGGUGAAGCCAAGCUUGCUUGGUGGAUCAGUGGCGAACGGGUGAGUAACACGUGAGCAACCUGCCCUGGACUCUGGGAUAAGCGCUGGAAACGGCGUCUAAUACUGGAUAUGUGACGUGAUCGCAUGGUCGUGUUUGGAAAGAUUUUUCGGUCUGGGAUGGGCUCGCGGCCUAUCAGCUUGUUGGUGAGGUAAUGGCUCACCAAGGCGUCGACGGGUAGCCGGCCUGAGAGGGUGACCGGCCACACUGGGACUGAGACACGGCCCAGACUCCUACGGGAGGCAGCAGUGGGGAAUAUUGCACAAUGGGCGGAAGCCUGAUGCAGCAACGCCGCGUGAGGGAUGACGGCCUUCGGGUUGUAAACCUCUUUUAGCAGGGAAGAAGCGAAAGUGACGGUACCUGCAGAAAAAGCGCCGGCUAACUACGUGCCAGCAGCCGCGGUAAUACGUAGGGCGCAAGCGUUAUCCGGAAUUAUUGGGCGUAAAGAGCUCGUAGGCGGUUUGUCGCGUCUGCUGUGAAAUCCCGAGGCUCAACCUCGGGCCUGCAGUGGGUACGGGCAGACUAGAGUGCGGUAGGGGAGAUUGGAAUUCCUGGUGUAGCGGUGGAAUGCGCAGAUAUCAGGAGGAACACCGAUGGCGAAGGCAGAUCUCUGGGCCGUAACUGACGCUGAGGAGCGAAAGGGUGGGGAGCAAACAGGCUUAGAUACCCUGGUAGUCCACCCCGUAAACGUUGGGAACUAGUUGUGGGGACCAUUCCACGGUUUCCGUGACGCAGCUAACGCAUUAAGUUCCCCGCCUGGGGAGUACGGCCGCAAGGCUAAAACUCAAAGGAAUUGACGGGGACCCGCACAAGCGGCGGAGCAUGCGGAUUAAUUCGAUGCAACGCGAAGAACCUUACCAAGGCUUGACAUAUACGAGAACGGGCCAGAAAUGGUCAA